AACGCUGUGAUGAGGUUACCCUAAUGUUGUUUGGCAGUGGUGGAUUUGUUUCCAUGAGCCUUCACAAAAAACGACUUCUUCUUCCACUGAGCGUU
rfam:Picea glauca, whole genome shotgun sequence.